rnacentral:rRNA from 1 species
GAUGAACGCUGGCGGCGUGCCUAACACAUGCAAGUCGAGCGUGAACCCUUGGAAUGAAACUUCGGUCGAAUGAAGAGGGGGAAAGCGGCGGACGGGUGAGUAACGCGUANGCAACCUGCCCCGUACAGAGGGAUAGCCUCGGGAAACCGGGAUUAAUACCUCAUAACAUCUUUCGUUCACAUGGAUGAAAGGUCAAAGAUUUAUCGGUAUGGGAUGGGCCUGCGUCUGAUUAGCUAGUUGGUGAGGUAACGGCUCACCAAGGCCGAGAUGGGUAGCUGGUCUGAGAGGAUGAUCAGCCACACUGGGACUGAGACACUGCCCAGACUCCUACGGGAGGCUGCAGUCGAGAAUCUUUUGCAAUGCGCGAAAGCGUGACAAAGCAAUGCCGCGUGCCGGAUGAAGGUCUUCGGAUUGUAAACGGCUGUCACCCGUGACGAAAAAUGACGGUAACGGGAGAGGAAGCCACGGCUAACUACGUGCCAGCAGCCGCGGUAAUACGUAGGUGGCGAGCGUUGUUCGGAUUUAUUGGGCGUAAAGGGUCCGUAGGUGGUUUGUAAGUCUG